rnacentral:rRNA from 1 species
GGACUACCAGGGUAUCUAAUCCUGUUUGCUACCCACGCUUUCGUGUUUCAGCGUCAGUUGCGGUCCAGAGAGCCGUCUACACCACCGGUAUUCCUCCUGAUAUCUACGCAUUUCACCGCUACACCAGGAAUUCUACUCUCCCAUCCCGCACUCUAGCCCGCCAGUUUUCCGCGCACCCUCCCGGUUGAGCCGGGAGAUUUCACACGGAACUUAACAGGCCGCCUACACACCCUUUACGCCCAGUAACUCCGAACAACGCUUGCUGCCUACGUAUUACCGCGGCUGCUGGCAC